GUUAGAGCUAGCCCCAGGAAAUUUACCACAAGGUAAUUUUGGCAACCGAACAAGACAAUAAAACGGAAAGAAUAAAAGCGAGACAAGAACAUCAGAACACCAGAUAUACGUGGUUCGGUCAAUUGACUUUGACCUACAUCCACGGACGAAAGAGGAGCAAAUUACUACUGCAAAAGAGGGACAAUUACAAAUGCCUUAGGAAGAUGUUCCUAGACCAUAAAACACCCAAAAAUACUAAACAAGAAAAACCAAACUAUAAGUCUAAACUAUUUAACUAAGUAUGGACUUAAACCAAAGCAAACACUUAGGUUUUUCUUGUGGUGCCACUUAUGGUACCUUUUGUGGUGCCUCUGACUUCAAAGCCCAGACCCUUAUUUAUAGUUUCAAGACGAGACAACAAGUCUGAUUUUCCCGAUGUGGGACUAUGGGACUUGCCAAACUAACAAAUCUCUACCUUGGCAUGUUCCAACAAAACUUGCUCCACCUUCUUUAAAAGCCCCAACGAGCAAUCACCAACAAUGAACACCAACCAAGUCCAAGCACUGCUUGAACUUGUAAAUCGGAAGAGGCUUCGUAAACAUAUCAGCUGGAUUGUCCUUCGUAUGAAUUUUCUGAACAAGGACCUUUCCCUCAGCAAUGGUAUCCCAUUUGCAUCCGACAAUUUUCUUACUCGAAGGCGGCUUCACAAGAUCCCAAGUUCUAUUCCGAUGGGGAGACUCAAUUUUUUCAUUCAUCGCAAUCAACCACUUAGCGGAAUUAUCACAAGAAACUGCAUCUGAGUAGGAAGUAGGCUCACCAACUUCACUUGUCUCUUCUGCAACAUACAAAGCAUAUGCAACCAAAUUGGCAUAUCUUUGUGGUGGUCGAAUAUCUCUCCGCGGUCUAUCCUUGGCUAUGGAAUAUUGCUCUUCCUCUGGAGCAACUGCAUCAGUAGACUCGGGACCAUCUACUGGCAUUCUUUAAGUAGAAGAGUUCGACUUAAAGGAAUCUGAACUACCAAUCUCAAGCUCCACCUGCUUCUGCGCACUAUCAUUUGUACAACUAGUAGAAUCCUCUUUGGAAGAUAACAUAAACAAUUUAUCAAAAGUAAUAUCUCUACUGAUUACAAAUUUUGGGGAUUUGGGAUCAGAACACCAUAAUCUGUAUCCUUUCACCCUAGAAGCAUACCCAAGGAAAAUGCAUUUUUUAGCCCGAGGCUCUAAUUUUCCUUCAUUUACAUGCAUGAAUGCUGGACACCCAAAAAUUUUAAAAUCAGAGUAAUCAGCAGGAGUACCUGAUCAAACUUCCUCUGGAGUUUUAAAGUUAAGUGCUGCAGAAGGAGCGCGGUUGACAACGUAACAGGCCAUAUUAAUCGCCUCUGCCCAAAAGUCCUUUGUCAACCCUACAUUUGAGAUCAUACACCUUGCUCUCUCCAAGAGUGUUAUGUUCAUACGUUCGGCCACACCAUUUUGCUGAGGCGUCAUCCUAACAGUGCGAUGCCGAACGAUUCCUUCAUUUUUGCAGAAUUCUUCAAAGUCACCUUCACAAAAUUCCAUGCCAUUAUCUGUUAGAAGCCGCUUAAUAUGUUUACCUGUUUGCUUCUCUAUCAAAACCUUCCAUUGUUUAAAGGUUAGAAAAAUAUCAUUUUUAUGCUUCAGAAAAUAAACCCAAACUUUCCUGGAAUAAUCAUCAAUGAAAGUCAACAUAUACCUAGCACCACCCUUAGACUGAACAUGAGCUGGACCCCAAAGGUCUGAAUGAAUAUAGUCAAGAGUACCUUUGGUUUUGUGAACUGCCGGAGAAGUGAAGCUGACUCUUUUAUACUUUCCAAAAAUGCAGUGUUCACAAAAGUCCAGUGGCCCAGUACUCUAUCCGCAAAGUAGACCUCUUUUGCUCAAUAUGCUCAAACCUUUUUCGCUCAUAUGACCCAAACGCAUAUGCCAUAAUUUGGUGAUGUCAGAAUCAGACAAUGAUGAUGACGAAACUGCAACCGAACCUGUGACAGUAGUUCCCUACAGAAUAUACAAGCUACCAGACCUACAAGCUUUCAUAACAAUAAGAGCACUUCUAGAAACUUUCAUAACGCUACCUUCAACUGUGUAUUUACACCCAAGGGCCUCUAGGGUGCCUAAAGAGAUGAGAUUCCUUUUUAAAUCAGGAACAUGUCUAACAUUAGUGAGCGUCCUCACAAUAUCAUCAUGCAUUUUAAUUCGGAUUGUGCCUCUACCAACAACAUCACAUGCGACAUUAUUACCCAUCAAAAUAAUUCCACCAUUACAAGAUUCAUAUGUUGAAAACAAAUUCCUAUUGGGACACAUGUGAUAAGAACAACCUGAAUCUAAAAUCCAUUUAUUUUUAGACCUCGUCCUGUCAUCAAUAGCAGAAAAAAUAUUUCCAACAAUCUCAUCAGUUGCUACACUAACUUCAGCGAAUUCAGUAGUUUUUUCAACAAAUUUUUCCUUUUGCUUUAAUUUAUUUUUCAAUUUAAAGCAAUCAGAUUUAAUGUGUCCUNNNNNNNNNNNNNNNNNNNNACAAAUUCCUAUUGGGACACAUGUGAUAAGAACAACCUGAAUCUAAAAUCCAUUUAUUUUUAGACCUCGUCCUGUCAUCAAUAGCAGAAAAAAUAUUUCCAACAAUCUCAUCAGUUGCUACACUAACUUCAGCGAAUUCAGUAGUUUUUUCAACAAAUUUUUCCUUUUGCUUUAAUUUAUUUUUCAAUUUAAAGCAAUCAGAUUUAAUGUGUCCUAUUUUAUGACAAUAUCUGCAUUCCAAAUUUCUAUGUCUGGAUUUAGAUCUAGAUUUAGAUCUACUACUGUCAAAUUCUCUUUUAUCCAUUCUCCCCCUAACAACCAGACCCUCAGCCUGAUUUUCUCUACUUUCCCCAGUGAUAUUCCUGUCUAUCUGCUCCUUAGAUUUCAGUGCAGAUUUAAUUUCUUGAUACAAAACUGUUUCUUUUUCAUAAAUCAAAGUAUCAUGGAAAUACUUAAAAGAUUGGGGAAGAGAACACAAGAGUAACAAAGCCUUAUCCUCAUCAUCAAUUUUUGCAUCUAUAUUCUCCAAAUCAAUAACCAAAGAAUCAAACUUAUCAAGAUGCGAGAGUAUAGAUGUACCUUCAAUCAUCCGAAGCAUAUACAGACUCUGCUUCAAGUAUAGACGAUUCUCCACUGUCCUCUUCAUGUACAAGGCUUUAAGCUUGUCCCACAUGCUCUUAGCUGUAGUCUCCGUAGCUACCUCCUGUAAAACCUCGUCAGAGAGAUUUAGAAUGAUGCUUGAUCGGGCCUUCUUAUCCAUACCCGCAAGCUCUUCUUUUGACAUAUCAUCUGGAAUGCUCUCGGCUCCAGUUUAUUAGAGCUAGCCCUAGGAAAUUUACCACAAGGUAAUUUUGGCAACCCAAUAAGAUAAUAAAACGGAAAGAAUAAAAGCGAGACAAGAACACCAGAACACCAGAUAUACGUGGUUCGGUCAAUUGACUUUGACCUACAUCCACGGACGAAAGAGGAGCAAAUUACUACUGCAAAAGAGGGACAAUUACAAAUACCUUACGAAGAUGUUCCUAGGCCAUAAAACACCCG
rnacentral:lncRNA from 1 species